GACGAACGCUGGCGGCGUGCUUAACACAUGCAAGUCGAACGAUGAAGCCCAGCUUGCUGGGUGGAAGAGUGGCGAACGGGUGAGUAACACGUGAGUAACCUGCCCUGAACUCUGGGAUAAGCACUGGAAACGGUGUCUAAUACUGGAUACGACCUAUCACCGCAUGGUGUGUGGGUGGAAAGAUUUAUCGGUUUUGGAUGGACUCGCGGCCUAUCAGCUAGAUGGUGAGGUAAUGGCUCACCAUGGCGACGACGGGUAGCCGGCCUGAGAGGGUGACCGGCCACACUGGGACUGAGACACGGCCCAGACUCCUACGGGAGGCAGCAGUGGGGAAUAUUGCACAAUGGGCGCAAGCCUGAUGCAGCAACGCCGCGUGAGGGAUGACGGCCUUCGGGUUGUAAACCUCUUUUAGUAGGGAAGAAGCGAAAGUGACGGUACCUGCAGAAAAAGCACCGGCUAACUACGUGCCAGCAGCCGCGGUAAUACGUAGAUGGCAAGCGUUGUCCGGAUUUAUUGGGCGUAAAGCGAGCGCAGGCGGUUCUUUAAGUCUGAUGUGAAAGCCCCUGGCUCAACCAGGGAGGGUCAUUGGAAACUGGAGAACUUGAGUGCAGAAGAGGAAAGUGGAAUUCCAUGUGUAGCGGUGAAAUGCGUAGAUAUAUGGAGGAACACCAGUGGCGAAGGCGACUUUCUGGUCUGUAACUGACGCUGAGGCUCGAAAGCAUGGGGAGCAAACAGGAUUAGAUACCCUGGUAGUCCAUGCCGUAAACGAUGAGUGCUAAGUGUUGGAGGGUUUCCGCCCUUCAGUGCUGCAGCUAACGCAUUAAGCACUCCGCCUGGGGAGUACGACCGCAAGGUUGAAACUCAAAGGAAUUGACGGGGGCCCGCACAAGCGGUGGAGCAUGUGGUUUAAUUCGAAGCAACGCGAGACUUACCAGGUCUUGACAUCCUUUGACCACUCUAGAGAUAGAGCUUUCCCUCGGGACAAAGUGACAGGGGGUGCAUGCUGUCGUCAGCUCGUGUCUGAGAAUGUUUGGGUUAAGUCCCGCACGAGCGCACCUUAUAUUAUUAAGUUGCCAGCAUUCAGUUGGCACUCUAAUGUGAGACUGCGCGGGUGUUACG
rnacentral:rRNA from 1 species